rnacentral:rRNA from 1 species
GAUGAACGCUGGCGGCGUGCUUAACACAUGCAAGUCGAACGGUGAAGCAGGAGCUUGCUCUUGUAGAUCAGUGGCGAACGGGUGAGUAACACGUGAGCAACCUGCCCCUGACUCUGGGAUAAGCGCUGGAAACGGCGUCUAAUACUGGAUAUGUGAUGUGACCGCAUGGUCUACAUCUGGAAAGAAUUUCGGUUGGGGAUGGGCUCGCGGCCUAUCAGCUUGUUGGUGAGGUAAUGGCUCACCAAGGCGUCGACGGGUAGCCGGCCUGAGAGGGUGACCGGCCACACUGGGACUGAGACACGGCCCAGACUCCUACGGGAGGCAGCAGUGGGGAAUAUUGCACAAUGGGCGGAAGCCUGAUGCAGCAACGCCGCGUGAGGGAUGACGGCCUUCGGGUUGUAAACCUCUUUUAGCAGGGAAGAAGCGAAAGCGACGGUACCUGCAGAAAAAGCACCGGCUAACUACGUGCCAGCAGCCGCCGUAA